UGUAAAAUAAGCUAAAUCUAAGCUGUUGGGUUCAUACCCCAAAAAUGAAUAGCAAAUUCUUUUACAA
rnacentral:tRNA from 1 species